rnacentral:rRNA from 1 species
CAGCACCUCAAGUGGUCAGGAUGAUUAUUGGGCCUAAAGCAUCCGUAGCCUGCUUUGUUAGUUUUCGGUUAAAUCCAUACGCUCAACGUAUGGGCUGCCGGGAAUACUGCAAAGCUAGGGAGUGGGAGAGGUAGACGGUACUCGGUAGGAAGGGGUAAAAUCCUUUGGUCUAUUGAUGACCACCUGUGGCGAAGGCGGUCUACCAGAGCACGUCCGACGGUGAGGGAUGAAAGCUGGGGGAGCAAACCGGAUUAGAGACCCGAGUAGUCC